AUUGAACGCUGGCGGCAGGCCUAACACAUGCAAGUCGAACGAGGGGCGGACGGGUGAGUAAUGUCUGGGAAACUGCCUGAUGGAGAGGGCUCAUUACUGGAAACGGUAGCUAAUACCGCAUACCAUCAGCUGUGCCCGACUGGUAGUAGCUAGUUGGUGGGGUAACGGCUCACCAAGGCGACGAGCCCUAGCUGGUCUGAGAGGAUGACCAGCCACACCGGAACUGUGACACGGUCCAGACUCCUACGGGAGGCAGCAGUGGGGAAUAUUGGCAAAUGGGCGCAAGCCUGAUGCAGCCAGGCCGCGUGUAUGAAGAAGGCCUUCGGGUUGUAAAGUACUUUCAGCGGGGAGGCGUUACCCGCAGAAGAAGCACCGGCUAACUCCGUGCCAGCAGCCGCGGUAAUAC
rnacentral:rRNA from 1 species